GGCUGGCUGACAGACAUACAAACACAAAUAUUGAUCCAGAGAGAUCCAAACUACUCUGAUUUUGCUGAGUCCCAUGACUAGAGCUUGAAUCAUGGGCAGUUUUGAUGGAGAAAAAAAGGGCAAGGAACAGGAGCCCUUCCCUGUGGGUCUUAUUUAGCACUUCAGAGAAAAAUAGGAGAGUGAAGACAUCCAUGGAGAAAAUACAUUAGCAGUCCUAAAGAUAAAGGAACAUCCCCAACACUCUUUAAUCAUACUGUCUCAACUAUUUACCCUUCCUGGGAGAAACACUUAAAAAAAAAAACUAUUGCCAAUCACCUGUUUGCAAUAUCUCAACAACCCAUCUGCAAAUUAUGUUCCUAUCUGGAAGCACUAUAUAAACAGCACUUUCCUUCAAGAAACAUCUUUACUCAUUUUACCAUUGGCCUUUUUAAAAAGUUGUCAUACUUUUGCCAAGAACAGGAAAUGGGAGGGUCUAUAAUUUCUCUGAUGUAAAUCUUCAAAACAACAGCAACAUCCCAUUUCAACAAAAUGAAACAAAAAGAGCAAUCCAACUCAGGAGAAGCCUGUGGAAGGGAUGAUGACAGAGGAGGAACUGACAGGAAGCUCCAUGGCAUCCAUUUGCUGUUGGGGAGCUGCCGGGCUGGUCGAAUGUCAGCUCAGCUGGGAGCACACAGGAAUGGAAAAGAAAAAGCCAGCUCUCACGAAUAUCCCUACCAACUCCCCAUUAACUUCCAUUAUAAUUAUUUUCUUAGACCAGCUUUUUUCUUGGAGUAACUUUGGCCUGGAUCAGAACCCAUAGGAGUGUUCCCAAUGGGAGUUGGAUGUUGUGUAAGUCCCUCCCCUCAGCCCCUACUCCAACACACCCCAGAAAGCCCCUUUUUGGGGGCAUUCUGCCAUUUUCCCCUCCACUGGGCUAAGCUUCCCUGGCAGACCCUCAGCCGAACCAGUGUGAGGGGCUUUGCUGGUGGAGCCAGGACCCUACUGGCUCUGCUGUGGGUCUGUCAUAUCCAACUCCUCUCAGCCCAGCAUUAAUACAAGGUGGAUUGCACCCUUAGAAUCUAGCCACCUUCUGAUUUAAACCCAGCAUUCACAGUUAACAAUCUUAAUACACUUUUUUUGGUUGUUUGUUAAUGUUUUAUUGAAACAUUUUCAUUUGCUUGAUGGCAUAGCAAUGCCUGCCUUUCUUCCAUCUUCUUGGCAUUAAUUUGAAAUUACCAGACUCAGGACUAGGGAUGGCCAAAUUUGUCAGUUUUGGUUUCUCAGUUUCUCAUUUUUCUCCACAUUUCCACAUCAAGUUGAGGGUUUUUUUUAAAAAAAAGGUCCUCGUAAAAAUUCAUUGGUAUUUGAGUGUGAAUUUCUCUUAAUGCACACAUUUUUGUAUGCAAUUUUCUGUUGUAAUGCACUUUAUAUGUUAUUUUCACUAAUAUGUGCAUUUUAAUGCACAGUUUACCCUGUUGUAUGCAUUUUUGUACACAUUACUUGUCUGGAGAACUGCUCUGUAAAACUGACAGAAAUGUGAAAGAUGAAGGAUGGUUGUGUUUUGGUUUGCAUAUUGGUUUGGGAAGUGUGCGUUUCAUAGGUUCACCUUUAAAUGCAAACUGAAUUGAAUUUCACAUCCAUCCCUACCCAGAACAGCAUAGCUGUACAAAAUCAAUAAUCUUGGGAGAUUCUGAACAAUGAGCAAUCCGCAGUCAUCUAAGGUAUACUGGAUAAAAAAGAAAAUAGAAUACUGUUCACCAAGACCAGACAACGGAGAUAUGGAAAAUCAGAAAAUCAUGUGCAGUAUUAGAGUCACACAAUACGUGUGUUCCCCAUGUGUCCUGGAACAGAUGCAUGAAUAGGAAAUGUCAUAAUGUGUUCCAUAAAGAAAGCAAAGAAAACCUAAGAACGCAUUUUGACAAGAGAUUGUAAGAUAAAAAUUGCAGUUCUGAUCUGAAGUUUAUGGUAUAAAAAGCUAAACAAACCACCACAUAAACAUCAUGAUCUGCUUUACUCACUUUUGGAGUGUAUGCACAUUUCCUAUUGCAUAUAUUGAGCACCUCCCUCCUCAUAGAAGAAAAUGGAAGCCCCCAAGCUCCUGGAUCAUGUCCAAAAAACAUCAGGAAUAGUUUUUAGGCCACAUCUAGCAUUACCAAUUUCACUCAUGGGAAUACCUACAAGUUACUCUCAUGACUAAAUCUGCAGUAUUAGAAGGGCAGACACCUAUGUCUAGUAAUAAGCCAGAGUUAGAUCAACAUAUAUUUCCUUGUUGCAUGAGCAGAUAUGGGCAUAAGCCUUUCCAACACUAUAAUUUUCACCACUGGGGUGACUUGAAAGAAAAAAAUUAUAUGGGUAAAUCACGCACACUACAUGAAACAGGAAACUAAUUAUCCCCUUUACCUACAAUUUUAAGGUUACUUUUAAUAUGUUGUUUUCCAUUUAGAGGAAAAGUGAUAAAAACACGUGAAUGAAAAAAUAACAUUAGAAGAAACCCUAAAAACACACGGAAAGGAGAAUUUAUUUCCUGCUGCAUGUAUUAUAUAGAAAAUACACACCAUCCACAAAACAAAUAAAUUUAUGUCAAUUGAAUUAAAGGAUUUGUUUGCAAAUAUGGCAGACUUAGAAAAAAUGGUUCCUUGCCAACAGAAAGUACACAAGCAACCUUGGAGAUUUUGCAAGGGAAAUGUUGCAUGAUUCAUAACUCUUGGCCGAAGGAUACAUUUAGAUUCAGAGCUAUCAGGGUUCUGUGCAAAAUAUAACAACCAUUUUAACAAAGGCAUCUUUUUAGAAACUUAAAACUCACCAUCAGUUGACCACCCAGAGUGUUUCUAAGUGAAAAGAAUUUUUUUCCCUCUGGUACAGAUGAAAUAUUUAAAUACUGCAAAGGAAAUCUAGGGAAAUUUUCAAUGAAGCCUUCUAAGAAAUUGUACUUGAAAUAGUAACUAAAAA